AGAAUCAACGCUGGCGGCGUGCCUAACACAUGCAAGUCGAACGCGAAAGUCCCGCAAGGGAUUAGUAGAGUGGCAAACGGGUGAGUAACACGUGGGUGACCUGCCCUCGAGCGGGGGAUAACGUCCCGAAAGGGACGCUAAUACCGCAUGACAUCCUGCCUUUGAACAGGCGGAGAUCAAAGCUGGGGAUCGCAAGACCUAGCACUCGAAGAGGGGCCCGCGCCUGAUUAGCUAGUUGGUGAGGUAACGGCUCACCAAGGCUACGAUCAGUA
rnacentral:rRNA from 1 species